GAGCUCUGCUCAUCUCAACCUGGGGACUCCUGUGGAUCCAUCCCUCAGCAUUCAGGGAUGGGGAUGGGGGGCAGCAGAUGUUGGGAAAGGCAUGUUGGGCACGCUGGGAUAAGCACAGGGAUGCACAGGAAAGCUGCUCAGACCCUGCAUUUCCCAGGGGGGUGCUCGAGUGUUCUGCUGAGCUGCUCUGCUGAUCAGGAUUGAGAACCUGUGGGAUCAGGUCGUGCUGCUUCGUUUUAUCUGGAGGCUUCACAGGGAAGGUGGGAGCAGGAUCAUGUCUGUAAAGGUGGUAACUGC
rnacentral:lncRNA from 12 species